rnacentral:pre_miRNA from 13 species
AGAGUGUAAUUCAGCCAAGGAUGACUUGCCGGCAGCACGGGAUCUCAGAGCUUAAUAACUAGAAGAUCAAGGCUGUCAUUACUUUUCCGGCCGGCAAGUUGCCCUUGGCUACAUUGUACUCUCU